ensembl:lncRNA
GCCCGCUCCACACCCUCCACCCAGGGAGCAGACCCAGAAUUCAGAUGCCCCCCGCCCCUCCCCUGCCUCCACUUCCGUCUCCCCGUCCUGGCCUCUGCCCCUUCCCUGGAACCCUCUCCCUCUCCCCUUGGCUGUGGACAAGCGACCCCCGCAGGAGCCUCCGGCCCCCACUGCCCAACAGCGCGUGUUCCCAGGCCGACCGGGUCUCCCAGAUCUCAGCGCCCCUGCACAGCACUGUCCCUGGGGGGAAACUGAGUCACCCCGGGCCUGCUCUCUGUCUCUCACCUUGGAUCUGCGCUGGGGCUGCCCUGUGUGCCCCCCAGCCUUGCUCCCCUGCUGGCUGCUCCUGUCCCUCUGACACCCCCUCCUCUCAGAGCGGACCCCCGGUCUCAGGCAGCAACCAGUCCUGGUGCCCGGGACAGAGCUGGCUCUGCCUGGGGGAUGGUGACUCCCCACGAAGUCACCGCUCCCCCACCUUCCUCCCUCCCAUCUAAACUGUGUUUGUCUCUUGUUUUUAAAGAUUUGUUUUAUUUGUUGGGAAGGCAGAGUUAGAAAGAGAGGGAGAAGGAGCAGCCAUCGGCUGCUUCACCCCAACAGCCGGGGCUGGGCCAGGCCAAAGCCAGGAGCCCGGAGCUGCAUCCUGGUCUCCCAGUGGGCGGCAGGGACCAGGCACUUGGGCCAUCUUUGGCUGCCUCUCCCGGUGCAGUAGCAGGGAGCUGGAUCGGAAGCAGCCUGGACUCGAAGCAGCGCGCACAUGGGACGCGGUGUCUCAGGGGGAGGCUUAGCCCACCACGCCCCUGCACCAGCCCCAUUUUCAUCCCAUUGUCCAUGAUUACUGAGCCACUGGUGCCGUGACGGCGCAAGGCUGCCGGGGCCCAGCCCGUGCUGGCCUCAUGCAGACUGCGUCCAUGCCCGGGCCGAGGGGCCGCUCUCCAGCCUGGGCCGCCAGGGCGUGGGGCGGCACGGGAUGCUGCUGCCCCGGCCACGCCCUGCAGGACAGCAGCCCUGGGCCCACUCAGCCUCCUGUGUGACCUGCUCUUCUGUUUCUUCAUGCGUUUGUCUUUCUUGUGUGGAGUGUGCUGUCGGAAGCUUUGCUCCUGACUCGCUUGUAAUUAUUUCGAAACGGCCAGGACGGCUCCCCUCCACUCUUCUCCCUGUAAGCAGGGAGGAAUCCAUGCUCGGUGCCACUGGACGCACACACACUGGUGGAGAGACCAGCUGGGCCACUUUCCUCCCGGCCCUCCCCACGGCAGCCCACACCCCCCAACGAAUGGCGGCUCCCGUGGGGCGGGUUUUAUCUGGCUCCUUGUGCUGUUGCCCACGUGUCUACGGCUGCUUUUUAUUUCUAAAACAAGAGAAUGCACAGCUCAGUGUGGCUAUGCACACGUCCCCAAGGUGCAGGGAACACACAGCUCAGCCUGGCCGUGCACACGUCCCCACGGUGCAGGGAACACAGAGGUCAGCCUGGCCGUGCACACGUCCCCACGGUGCAGGGAACACAGAGGUCAGCCUGGCCGUGCACACGUCCCCAUGGUGCAGGGAACGCACAGUGCACACGUCCCCACAGAGCAGAGAACACAGAGGUCAGCCUGGCCGUGCACACGUCCCCACGGUGCAGAGAACACAGAGGUCAGCCUGGCCGUGCACACGUCCCCAUGGUGCAGGGAACGCACAGUGCACACGUCCCCUCAGUGCAGGGAACGCACAGUGCACACGUCCCCACAGAGCAGAGAACACACAGGUCAGCCUGGCCGUGCACACGUCCCCAUGGUGCAGGGAACGCACAGUGCACACGUCCCCAUGGUGCAGGGAACACACAGUGCACAUGUCCCCAUGGUGCGCGGCCUCACCCUGUGUCCCACCAGCCGCGGGGGCCGGGGCCUGGCUUCCACGCUGCGUGUUUGCUGUUGUGCUUCUCCAUGGCGGAGCCGCAGCUGCGGCGUCCUGUGCGGAGGAGCCCGAGCUGACACGCUGCUCCGUGGGCUCGCAGAGCAGUGCGAGAGCCAAGGAACAGCGCGUCCCCGACGUGAGAGACGAGGUGAGAGCUCACAGGAGGCAGGGCGGCGGAUGUGCAGGGCUGGCUGCAACAGGACGGGGGGCCGCUCUGUCCCCCCC